GCCUUCGUGGUGUAAUAAUGGUCAGCACACUGAGCCGGAAUUUCAGAGGUCCGUGGUUCGAUUCCCGGCGAAGGCC
rfam:Stegodyphus mimosarum contig116078, whole genome shotgun sequence.